CCAGAGAACUUCCAGAGAUGGAUUGGUGCCUUCGGAAACNCUUGAGACAGGUGCUGCAUGGCUGUCGUCAGCUCGUGUUGUGAAAUGUUGGGUUAAGUCCCGCAACGAGCGCAACCCUUAUCCUUUGUUGCCAGCGGUUAGGCCGGGAACUCAAAGGAGACUGCCAGUGAUAAACUGGAGGAAGGUGGGGAUGACGUCAAGUCAUCAUGGCCCUUACGAGUAGGGCUACACACGUGCUACAAUGGCGCAUACAAAGAGAAGCGACCUCGCGAGAGCAAGCGGACCUCAUAAAGUGCGUCGUAGUCCGGAUUGGAGUCUGCAACUCGACUCCAUGAAGUCGGAAUCGCUAGUAAUCGUGGAUCAGAAUGCCACGGUGAAUACGUUCCCGGGCCUUGUACACACCGCCCGUCACACCACGGGAGUGGGUUGCAAAAGAAGUAGGUAGCUUAACCUUCAGGAGGGCGCUUACCACUUUGUGAUUCAUGACUGGGGUGAAGUCGUAACAAGGUAAGCGUAGUGCU
rnacentral:rRNA from 1 species